GUGAAGUCAUGAUUAAUUUAUUCUGCUUUAUUAGUUAUUGAAGAAACUGUAGUAUAUCAGAAAAAUUUUCUUUUGUAGAAAAAUUGCUGAGGUAGAACGCAUCGCCCGUGAGAAAAAGGAGUUAGAAUACCUUAAAUUGCUUGAAGCACAGCGCAUUGCUGAGUUACAACAAGCUAAAUUGACAAGCUCAGCAGUUAAAAAGAUUGCACUAGCUGAUAACAAGGAAACUGGACUAAAUCAUACAUUCACUUUAAGUAAUAACAAGGAAAAUGGUCUUAAUACCACAUUUUCCAAAACUACUGGACCGUCUCAGUCAAGUUCUACUGGGAAAAACAAAGAUAGUUAUGACAUUACACCAAACUCCAAGAAAUAUAAGAAAAAUAUUAAUAAUUAUGAUAUAAAUGAUAUUGAGAGUGAUGACUCAACUGAUGAGGACAGUGCUCCUAAGAGGAAAAUUCCUCCCUGGGCUAUGAGAUCUCAGCUCACAGCUGCUAUGAUCAACCAAGUACACUCCGGACCUGUGGUUGAGGAGAUCUUCCCUCCGACUAUUCUUCUCACCACACCUGAUCUCACCCAAAUCUUUCCUAAGCGGAAAAAAUUUAACAAACGCACCUCUUGUGCGAUAUGGACUACACCACUUUCUAAAUAUUUUGAAUAAUGUUAGCUAUAUACAGUACUGUGUAUAUAUUUUAUCAUGCUUCAUGGUAUAAACUAAUGAUUUUCAGUUAAGUGUUAUUAAUGCAUUGGAAUUGUUUUCCAAAUUUUUAGAGUACAUAACUUAGCAUUUCUUAAUAUAUAGGUAUUUUCCAAUUUACGAUGGGGGUUGUGUUCCUGAAAACCGUAACAUAAACUAUGAGCCCUUUAACAUGGGUUUCACUGGGGUACAUUCCUGGCCAGUCCGAUAUAGACAUGUAAUCCAGAAAUAAUAAUCCUUCAAUAAUUAAAUAAAUACAG